rnacentral:tRNA from 1 species
AAAACGAAAGUAAUUACUACACUUGGCUUCGACCCAAAUUUUGGGUUAACCCUCGUUUUA